UACAUGGGGUGCAAACGUUGCUCGGAAUUAUUGGGCGUAAAGCGCGCGUAGGCGGUUACUUAAGUCGGAUGUGAAAGCCCUCGGCUUAACUGAGGAAGUGCAUCCGAAACUGAGUAGCUAGAGUACGAAAGAGGGUCGCGGAAUUCCCGGUGUAGAGGUGAAAUUCGUAGAUAUCAGGAGGAACACCGGUGGCGAAGGCGGGUCUCUGGGCCGUAACUGACGCUGAGGAGCGAAAGCAUGGGGAGCGAACAG
rnacentral:rRNA from 1 species